UGGCAUUAGAGUUUGAUCCUGGCUCAGAAUCAACGCUGGCGGCGUGCCUAACACAUGCAAGUCGAACGCGAAAGUGGAGCAAUCCAUGAGUAGAGUGGCAAACGGGUGAGUAACGCGUGGGUGACCUGCCUUCGAGUGGGGGAUAACGUUUCGAAAGGAACGCUAAUACCGCAUAACAUCCUGUCUUUUAAGAGAUGGACAUCAAAGCUGGGGAUCGCAAGACCUAGCGCUUGAAGAGGGGCCCGCGUCCGAUUAGCUAGUUGGUGGGGUAAUGGCUCACCAAGGCAACGAUCGGUAGCCGGCCUGAGAGGGCGGACGGCCACACUGGGACUGAGACACGGCCCAGACUCCUACGGGAGGCAGCAGUGGGGAAUUGUUCGCAAUGGGCGCAAGCCUGACGACGCAACGCCGCGUGGAGGAUGAAGAUCUU
rnacentral:rRNA from 1 species